AAAAGAACUUACAAGACACAAAA
rnacentral:snRNA from 1 species